UACGUAGGGGGCAAGCGUUGUCCGGAAUCAUUGGGCGUAAAGCGCGUGUAGGCGGUUACGUAAGUCUGCUGUGAAAGUCGGAGGCUCAACCUUCGAAAGCCGGUGGAUACUGCGUGACUAGAGUCCGGAAGAGGAGAGUGGAAUUCCUGGUGUAGCGGUGAAAUGCGCAGAUAUCAGGAGGAACACCAAUAGCGAAGGCAGCUCGCUGGGACGUUACUGACACUGAGGCGCGAAAGCGUGGGGAGCGAACAGG
rnacentral:rRNA from 1 species